GGGUAGGUAUCGUAUUGACCACGAGUCGAGACAGAAGUACAUGUGAAUACGCACAGAAAACACAUACGGUGCUAACAGACAGGUCUGCAUCCCAAAUGGCACCAUAUUGCCAAUCAGGGUUGCCUAGGCUACUUUGAAACAAGGACAAUGACCCAAAACACACCUCCAGGCUGUGUAAAGGCUAUUUGCCCAAGGAGGAGAGUGAUGGAUUGCUGUAUCAGAUGACCUGGCCUCCACAAUCCCCCGACC